AUCCUACGGGAGGCAGCAGUAGGGAAUCUUCGGCAAUGGGGGCAACCCUGACCGAGCAACGCCGCGUGAGUGAAGAAGGUUUUCGGAUCGUAAAGCUCUGUUGUAAGAGAAGAACGUGGGUGAGAGUGGAAAGGUCACACAGUGACGGUAACUUACCAGAAAGGGACGGCUAACUACGUGCCAGCAGCCGCGGUAAUACGUAGGUCCCGAGCGUUAUCCGGAUUUAUUGGGCGUAAAGCGAGCGCAGGCGGCUGGAUAAGGCUGGAGUUAAAGGGCGUGGCUUAACC
rnacentral:rRNA from 1 species